rnacentral:lncRNA from 1 species
UUCUUCUGAGUACUUAGAUGCAUCUUUUUGGUAUUGAAUUUUCAAUCCCCAAUCUUCAAAGUUGCAGCAUUUUUCUUUGUUACAGUUUACACUACACCCACUCUAUGUGGUCUCAGGUUUGUUAUUAGGGGGGAGGGAGUACCUCACAUAAAUUCUUUUUUUUGAGAUUUUUUUCCCAUCUAUUAUUGUUGAUUUUUUAACUUGGUAUAAUGGAGGAACUUAAAGACAAACAUAACCUUCUAAAUUUUCCAUCUUAUGUUGACCUUGUAAUAGAUACAAGCUUUACAAUUACAGUCCACAACCACAAUUGUGACUGCAAUAUCAUGGUCUAAAUGUUCCUAUCACAAUUGCACGGUUGUACAAAAUCAGUAAUUGUUCCGAACUGAAUCAAACCCAGUCCAAAAAGAAACAAAUCCUUCAGAGACCACUAGCCCACUACGGACCAUAUGGUAGACACGUCCUAGAGGGCUAGAAGCACACCCAAGUAGAUCCGGUGACCAAAUCAAGACCAUACAAUUAAGAACAUAUCAUGAUAUGUCUACAACUAUCAUCCAAGGAAGGAUCGUCCUAAAACCCUAAUUCUCCUCCUACAAAUGCUAACUCAUGACUCUUGCUAUGCACU